rnacentral:rRNA from 1 species
GACGAACGCUGGCGGCGUGCCUAAUACAUGCAAGUAGAACGCUGAAGCUUGGUGCUUGCACCGAGCGGAUGAGUUGCGAACGGGUGAGUAACGCGUAGGUAACCUGCCUGGUAGCGGGGGAUAACUAUUGGAAACGAUAGCUAAUACCGCAUAAGAGUAGAUGUUGCAUGACAUUUGCUUAAAAGGUGCAAUUGCAUCACUACCAGAUGGACCUGCGUUGUAUUAGCUAGUUGGUGAGGUAACGGCUCACCAAGGCAACGAUACAUAGCCGACCUGAGAGGGUGAUCGGCCACACUGGGACUGAGACACGGCCCAGACUCCUACGGAAGGCAGCAGUAGGGAAUCUUCGGCAAUGGACGGAAGUCUGACCGAGCAACGCCGCGUGAGUGAAGAAGGUUUUCGGAUCGUAAAGCUCUGUUGUAAGAGAAGAACGAGUGUGAGAGUGGAAAGUUCACACUGUGACGGUAUCUUACCAGAAAGGGACGGCUAACUACGUG